rnacentral:misc_RNA from 1 species
GAACGCAUAUUGCACUCUCUGGUUUUCCAGGAGUCUGCCUGUUUGAGGGUCAGUUAAAUAAAAAUCGGUGUUGUUGCUGCCUUUUGUGGUGACGCUUCGGAAUUGGGUCGUCUUUGCCUUUGGUUAAGUGACCUAAAAUUUAAUAUGAUUUUCGAACGUAUUUAAAUCCAUUAUGUACGUUUGUGAUAAUCAAAUAUUAGGGGUGGCCAUCCUUAUGGUUCGCGCCUAUAAUUUUUCAUCAAUUGACAUAAAAUCAGGUAAGAGUACCCGCUGAACUUA